AUGAAACUGAAGGUCCAGUUUCCAGUGAACAUAGAAGCAAUAUUUUCCAGACCGCAUAGAAAGGCACUCCGCAAUGCAACUCAUCACAGCCUCAUGGAGCAAGCACGUGCUACAACAGAGAUCCAAAAGGUAAACUCUGAGCUCAGCCAUCAGGUCACCGAAUUACAAGAUCAAUUACAAGCUGAACGUGAAAGCACACAAGAGAGGAUUAACUUUGAGCGUGCUGAGAGAGAAAACCUUGAGGAGAGCUUAAAAGAAGAGCGUGCUGAUACGGAAAGAUUGUUGGAAGAGGAGCGAAUAAGAUCAACAUUGAAAUUUGAGAAAAACAUGAUGGCAAAGUUUGCACAGUUAUCCCAACAGACGCAAACACAUCAGAUGAAUAAGAAAAGGACUAGCAAAGAAUUAGUAAUCCAAACUUGCAAAAUACUCUUUUAUAGACCGCUAGUACUACUGGGACUCUAG
rnacentral:rRNA from 1 species